rnacentral:rRNA from 1 species
CGCGUAGGCGGCUUUUUAAGUCGGUUGUGAAAGCCCCGGGCUCAACCCGGGGAGGCCAGCCGAUACUGGGGGGCUUGAGGGCAGGAGAGGGAAGCGGAACUGCCGGUGUAGCGGUGGAAUGCGUAGAUAUCGGCAGGAACACCCGCGGCGAAGGCGGCUUCCUGGACUGCUCCUGACGCUGAGGCGCGAAAGCCAGGGGAGCGGACGGGAUUAGAUACCCCGGUAGUCCUGGCCCUAAACGAUGGUCACUAGGUGUCGCGGGUAUCGACCCUGCGGUGCCGCAGCUAACGCAGUAAGUGACCCGCCUGGGGAGUACGGCCGCAAGGUUGAA